rnacentral:rRNA from 1 species
AGAACGAACGCUGGCGGCAGGCUUAACACAUGCAAGUCGAACGCACCGCAAGGUGAGUGGCAGACGGGUGAGUAACGCGUGGGAAUCUACCCAACCCUUCGGAAUAGCUCCGGGAAACUGGAAUUAAUACCGAGUACGCCCUACGGGGGAAAGAUUUAUCGGGGUUGGAUGAGCCCGCGUUGGAUUAGCUAGUUGGUGGGGUAAUGGCCUACCAAGGCGACGAUCCAUAGCUGGUCUGAGAGGAUGAUCAGCCACACUGGGACUGAGACACGGCCCAGACUCCUACGGGAGGCAGCAGUGGGGAAUAUUGGACAAUGGGCGCAAGCCUGAUCCAGCCAUGCCGCGUGAGUGAUGAAGGCCCUAGGGUUGUAAAGCUCUUUCAGUGGGGAAGAUAAUGACGGUACCACAGAAGAAGCCCCGGCUAACUUCGUGCCAGCAGCCGC